AAGCGGAGGAAAAGAAACUAACAAGGAUUCCCUUAGUAACUGCGAGUGAAGAGGGAAAAGCUCAAAUUUAAAAUCUGGCAGUAUUUUGCUGUCCGAGUUGUAACCUAGAGAAGUGUAACCUGUGCUGGACCGUGUAUAAGUUUCCUGGAAUGGAGCAUCACAGAGGGUGAGAAUCCCGUCUUUGACAUGGACUACCAGUGCAUUGUGGUUGUGCUCUCAACGAGUCGAGUUGUUUGGGAAUGCAGCUCUAAAUGGGUGGUAAAUUCCAUCUAAAGCUAAAUAUUGGCGAGAGACCGAUAGCGAACAAGUACCGUGAGGGAAAGAUGAAAAGAACUUUGGAAAGAGAGUUAAACAGUAUGUGAAAUUGUUGAAAGGGAAACGUUUGAAGUCAGUCGCGUUAGCUGGGGAUCAGCCUGACAUUGUUGGGUGCACUUCCUGGUUGACGGGCCAACAUCAGUUUUGACUGCCAGAAAAAGGCCAAGGGAAUGUGGCACCUUUGGGUGUGUUAUAGCCUUUGGUCAUAUAUGGUGGUUGGGACUGAGGAAUGCAGUGUGCCGAAAGGCCGGGUUUCGACCACGUUCACACUGAGGAUGUUGGCAUAAUGGCUUUAAGCGACCCGUCUUGAAACACGGACCAAGGAGUCUAACAUGCAUGCGAGUGUUUGGGUGGAAAACCCUUACGCGUAAUGAAAGUGAAAGUUGAGAUCCCUGUCGUGGGGAGCAUCGACGCCCGGACCAGAACUUUUGGGACGGAUCUGCGGUAGAGCACGUAUGUUGGGACCCGAAAGAUGGUGAACUAUGCCUGAAUAGGGUGAAGCCAGAGGAAACUCUGGUGGAGGCUCGUAGCGAUUCUGACGUGCAAAUCGAUCGUCAAAUUUGGGUAUAGGGGCGAAAGACUAAUCGAACCAUCUAGUAGCUGGUCCUGC
rnacentral:rRNA from 1 species